rnacentral:rRNA from 1 species
CACGGAGUUAGCCGAUGCUUUUUCUUCGGAUACACGCAGUCCGGGACACGUCCCGGGUUUUGUUCUCCGACAAAAGAGGUUUACAACCCAUAGGGCCGUCUUCCCUCACGCGGCUUGGCUGGUUCAGGAUCUCUCCCAUUGACCAAUAUUCCUCACUGCUGCCUCCCGUAGGAGUCUGGUCCGUGUCUCAGUACCAGUGUGGGGGACCUUCCUCUCAGAACCCCUACGCAUCGUCGCCACGGUGGGCCGUUACCCCGCCGUCAAGCUAAUGCGCCGCAUGCCCAUCCUCUUCCGAUGAAUCUUUCCUCGAUCUCGGAUGCCCGAAACCGAUAUACGCGGGAUUAGCCUCCCUUUCGGAAGGUUGUCCCCCUGAAGAGGGCAGGUUGCAUACGUGUUACUCACCCGUGCGCCGGUCGCCGGCAAGGAAAGCAAGCUUCCCUCCCGAUGCCCCUCGACUUGCAUGUGUUAAGCCUGCCGCUAGCGUUCAUCCUGAGCCAGGAUCAAACUCU